CACGUAGGGUGCGAGCGUUGUCCGGAAUUAUUGGGCGUAAAGAGCUCGUAGGCGGUGUGUCGCGUCGGCCGUGAAAACCCGCGGCUCAACCGCGGGCCUGCAUUCGAUACGGGCAGGCUAGAGUUCGGUAGGGGAGACUGGAAUUCCUGGUGUAGCGGUGAAAUGCGCAGAUAUCAGGAGGAACACCGAUGGCGAAGGCAGGUCUCUGGGCCGAUACUGACGCUGAGGAGCGAAAGCGUGGGGAGCGAACAGG
rnacentral:rRNA from 1 species